rnacentral:rRNA from 1 species
UACGGAGGGAGCUAGCGUUGUUCGGAAUUACUGGGCGUAAAGCGCACGUAGGCGGCUUUGUAAGUUAGAGGUGAAAGCCCGGAGCUCAACUCCGGAACUGCCUUUAAGACUGCAUCGCUUGAAUCCAGGAGAGGUGAGUGGAAUUCCGAGUGUAGAGGUGAAAUUCGUAGAUAUUCGGAGGAACACCAGUGGCGAAGGCGACUACCUGGACGAACAUUGACGCUGAGGUGCGAAAGCGUGGGGAGCAAACAGG